rnacentral:rRNA from 1 species
UACGUAGGUGGUUUGUCGCGUUGUCCGUGAAAACUCAGGGCUUAACCCUGAGCCUGCUUCCGAUACGGGCAGACUAGAGGUAUGCAGGGGAGAACGGAAUUCCUGGUGUAGCGGUGAAAUGCGUAGAUAUCAGGAGGAACACCGGUGGCGAAGGCGGGUCUCUGGGCCGUAACUGACGCUGAGGAGCGAAAGCAUGGGGAGCGAACAGG